GAUGAACGCUGGCGGCGUGCCUAAUACAUGCAAGUCGAGCGAACAGACGAGGCGCUUGCUCCUCUGACGUUAGCGGCGGACGGGUGAGUAACACGUGGAUAACCUACCUAUAAGACUGGGAUAACUUCGGGAAACCGGCGCUAAUCCCGGAUAAUAUCUUGCACCGCAUUGUUCAAUAGUGAAAGACGGUUUUGCUGUCACUUAUCGAUGGAUCCGCGCCGCAUUAGCUAGUUGGUACGGUAACGGCGUACCAAGGCAACCAUGCGUAGACGACCUGAGAGAGUGAUCGGCCACACUGGAACUGAGACACGGUCAAGACGACUAAGGGAGGCAGCAGUAGGGAAUGUGACGCAAUGGGCGAAAGCCUGACGGAGCAACGCGGCGUGAGUGAUGAAGGUCUUCGGAGCGUAAAACUCUGUUAUUAGGGAAGAACAAAUGUGUAAGUAACUAUGCACGGAUUGACGGUACCGAAUCAGAAAGCCACGGCUAACUACGUG
rnacentral:rRNA from 1 species